rnacentral:rRNA from 1 species
GAUCCUGGCUCAGGAUUAACGCUGGCGGCGUGCGUAACACAUUCAAGUCGAACGGAGAGAGGCAGCUUCGGUUGCGUCAAUCAGUGGCGGACGGGUGAGUAACGCGUGAGUAACCUGCCUGUAAGAGGGGGAUAACACCUGGAAACGGGUGCUAAUACCGCAUAAAUCAUAGUUGUCGCAUGGCAGCGAUGUAAAAGAGGAAUUGCUUACAGAUGGACUCGCGUCUGAUUAGAUAG